rnacentral:rRNA from 1 species
UGCCAGACUCCUACGGGAGGCAGCGGUGAGGAAUAUUGGUCAAUGGCCGAGAGGCUGAACCAGCCAAGUCGCGUGAGGGAAGACGGCCCUACGGGUUGUAAACCUCUUUUGUCGGGGAGCAAAGCGAGUCACGUGUGACUCAUUGAGAGUACCCGAAGAAAAAGCAUCGGCUAACUCCGUGCCAGCAGCCGCGGUAAUACGGAGGGUGCAAGCGUUAAUCGGAAUUACUGGGCGUAAAGCGCACGCAGGCGGUCUGUCAAGUCGGAUGUGAAAUCCCCGGGCUCAACCUGGGAACUGCAUUCGAAACUGGCAGGCUUGAGUCUCGUAGAGGGGGGUAGAAUUCCAGGUGUAGCGGUGAAAUGCGUAGAGAUCUGGAGGAAUACCGGUGGCGAAGGCGGCCCCCUGGACGAAGACUGACGCUCAGGUGCGAAAGCGUGGGGAGCAAACAGGAUUAGAUACCCCCGUAGA